rnacentral:misc_RNA from 1 species
GAAAUGCGAUAAGUAAUGUGAAUUGCAGAAUUCAGUGAAUCAUCGAAUCUUUGAACGCACAUUGCGCCCAUUAGUAUUCUAUUGGGCAUGCCUGUUCGAGCGUCAUUUCAACCCUUAAGCUCAGCUUAGUGUUGGGAAUCUACCGUGAGUGGUGCUACCCUGUAGUUACCCUGUAGUUCCUCAAAUCCAACGGCGGAGUCAUAGUCAUCUCUGAGCGCAGUAAUUUUUAUCACGCUUUUGAAGAUACUAUAGCCCUAGCCGCUAAACCCCCAAUUUUUAAUGGUUGACCUCGGAUCAGGUAGGAAUACCCGCUGAACUUAA